CACGUGCAGAGGUACUAGAAAGCAUGCACCGACUAGUCGCGGUACCUUCCAAAAAUACCCAUGGGAGUCUGGGCUUCCCUGAGUUUAGAGUAACUGCUGCCCAAACUGAUGAUUAAAACACUGAGUAAUCACCAUUUACCCUGAGUAAUUAGAGAUAAUGAAACACCUCUAAAAUCAGGUUAUGGAGAAAGGAGCUGUUGGAUUGGUUUAAAGGGUGGCCUUCCAUAAACUGUUAAAGAAGUUCCAAACGUUGAGAAACAGGCUGUGCACAGAGCUGCGUGCCUGAAAGAUACUUCUUCAGUUCUUAAAAGGUGACUUUCCAUCCAAUUUUUUUUUUAAGUGUUACCUGUGGAAAGCCUUAGUGAUGACCCUUAGAAACAGGAUCCCAUUAAAAGGGCUGCUUUCUCUCCUUUGCCCGGACCUUACCUUUGAGAGGACAGAAGUGCCUUUGCAGACAGAUUGGGGCCAUAUUUUUACAGUUAGAAAAGUGUGUUUAUAGUUCAGAAGCCCUCUUAAGCACUGCCACAGCAGUUAUUUUUGUUGUUGUUGAUUGUUUAUUUGUGGUGUAACUAAGAACACCUCAUCUCAGCAAUCUGACCUUCCAAGAGGGUAACAACCACAGAAGCUACCACCUUUUAGGCCACAAGGAGACAAGAAAAGAUACCCUUUGGUCUGUUUUUAUAAGAAGAAGGGGGAUGCCGAAUUGGCCCUUUUGUGCACCCCCCCCACCCCCAUGCUAGUAAUCAUAUUAGCAGGGAGGUGGAAUGUGGCUUUUAAACCUUCCCAAACAGGAACUAAUUUCACACACUGCCUCUGAUGGAGCUGUGAGGGAGCUAUCAGCCCCAUCUCUGUUUUACAAACAAGGAAGGGGAAGGACAGCAAGGUUAAAGGGACUUGCCCAAAGCCCUGAAGUAAAUCACAGCCUCUGCUCUGCAGUCUUGAGGUAAUGCUUCAGGGCAGAGUUGAGGCUCACAGCCCUGAGCUCCAGGUAGCCAGGGAGGACUGACCAUUUCCUGUCCUGGAUUUCUUUCCCUGGAUAGACUUUAUACUUCCCUGUCUCAGCAAAGCAUUGAGCUCUUAAACAGAUAAUGGCCUAGGGUAGCUCAUCUAUAAAACUUUACAUUCACACACCUUCGAUAUUUAGAAAAUAGAAACUAUUUCCUGUAAUCUGGGAGCAUAGGUCACAAAAGGUGAGAAGUGUGCAUGGAGAGCAGAGAAACAACUAUAGAGCAGGACCAAAGCAUCCUGCCUUCUCUUCCAGGCUUGGUGAGAUCUUUUGUCUGAACAACAGAAACAAAGAUGUAUGCCUUUGGCCAAGUUUUUUCAUUCUUGUGAAAAGAUUAGGACAGAUAUUCUCCAUGCUCCCCUUAAAUCUGAAAAUGAUUUGAUUAUUUUAUUGUAGUUUUAAUGAACAUCCACCUUUUCAUUUUAAACCACUCCUGAAUCUCGCUCCUCUAAGAACCUCUGAUUAAACAGGGCAGGGCCGUAACACCAGCCUGGAAAGAUGACUGAAAAUAUACCUGCAGCUUCCAACACAGUCAAAAUUACAAUUAAUUAUUAAAACUAACAACACAAAAUUAAAAGUCCAUUAAAUAGUUACUAAUGUCUCUCCUGCGGCAUCAGGGCAGUAUGCUCCUUUAGCACACUGUAAAGACAUUUAAUGUUCACUGAGCCCCCUACAUCAAUCACUAUUAUUUUAAUUAUUAAUAAAAUGUGUCCUUUAAUAUUUAAAUUCAGAAACAACAAUGAUAUGAUAUACUUAAAAGCAGGACAAUGUUAUUUUAUUUUAAAGCCCUACGUUGUUUGUUUUUCUAAUCCCAAAUGUUUUUGGAUGACAGCUAUUAUCUCAUUUUGCUGAAGCCCAGACAAUAAAGUGGCAAUCGCCCACCCAUGAGUCUGUGAAACCCACAGUCUGGGAGUUCCCAAUUAAGCCACCUAACAUACCUUGUUUAGAUACUGAUAUGGAUCUUUAGGUAUGUGAUGGGAGAACAAGGCUGUAGUUCUCUUGGGACAGCUUUAUUUCCUUCCCCACAUUUUAGAUGAGUGCAAACCACCUAUUGUCCACUGCUUUUAACCCACUCUUCCCCCCCCCCCCAAGAACAAAUAACUUGUUGGUUAAAGAGCCUAUCAAACACAGACCAAUGAUCAGAGGUGGUGAGGGAAAUCCAUCUAGUUCUUUUCCCCCUCUCAACCUCCUCUUGAAUCUUGAUUGUUUUACAAAACAUGAUAUAGAUAGACCAAAUAAAGCUCUACUUUAAAGCAUAUAAAUUAAGAGAAGAAGCCCAUAUAAUUCAGGAGCAACUAUGGCUCCUGUGCUCCUCCUGCUCAAUGAAAGGAAUUUGUUUGUUAGGUUUUUUCCUAGAGAGCAUCAAGAAAGAGUAGCUGGUCAACAAGCUCUUGGGACAGACUUUCUCAAGGUAUGUUCUGAGGGUUAUAAGUUUCACAAUACAGGUGGGAGUGCUAAUAAAAUGCAGAUUUCCUGCCCCUGACCCAGAUCUGGAUCUAGAAAUCUGCAUUUCAUAAGGUUCCCUCAUGAUUCUGAGCACACAGAAGUUUGAGAACUACUGUUUUAAAAGUGAUUUCACUUAGUUUCAAGACUGAUACAUACCAUUAAAAAUAGAUACCAAGACAUUAUUGAAUAAGCAAGGAAGUUGCUUGCUUAAUACUUUAUAAACUGUUAAAUAUGGCCCUUAUAGUCUUACUAUGCCCAGAACACACCAAAAAAGUCUACAGAGGUAAAAAAAAUUUUCUAAUUCUGUAGACAUAGUAGUAGUUGCUUCUGGGUCCUAAACUAAGAACCACAUGGAGUCUUCAAACUUUCUAUUGAAGCAAUAGGGGAAUACUUUGAAGAAUUCCCAGCACCAUUGCUAACUGUUGAGAAGCAGUAAGAUAGAGCAAUUAAAAGUGGAUUGGAAGGUGUUUUAGUCAGCUUUUUUGCUGCUGGGACCCAAAGACCUGAUAAGAACAAUUUUAGAGUGCUCAUGGUUUUAGAGGUCUAAGUCCAUAGAUGGCUAAUUCCAUUGCUUUGUGCCCCAGGGAUGGCAGAACAUCAUGGUGGAAGAGUGUGGUGGAAGAAAGUGGCUCAGGACAUGGCCACCAAGGAGCAGGGAGAAAGAGACAGCUCCACUUUCCAGGGAAAAAAUAUAUAUCCCAAAGACAUGCACCCAAUAACUCACUGCCUCCAAUUACACUGUACCUGUCUACAUUACCACCCCAUUAAUCCCUAUCAGUGGACCAAUGCACUGACCAGGUUAGGGCUCUCAUAACCCAAUCAUUUCAUCUCUAAACUUUCUUGCAUUGUUUUACAAAUGAGCUUUUGGGAGAUACCUCAUUCUAAACCAUAGCAGAAGGGAUCUCUGAAACUGGCUUGGACCCUUAGUUUUUCUUUUAUUAAUAUAUACCAUAUAUUACAUAUCUGUUCUCUAGCCCUCACAACAACCCACAUAAAUCCCUCUUCUACAGAUGAGAAUCUGAAAUUUACAUAGGCUAUAUAAGUUGCUCAAGGUCACAGAGCUGUAGUGAUGGACCAAAAGUCAGACCAUGUCAGUCUGUCUCCUCCUCCACAGCCUGAACUGGGCCUGCAGGGAGAUGGAUGGAUCCCCUGUGGGAAUAGACCCUGUGGAUCCCUGUGGAUUCACCUAAAAAGUCCUGCCCUGAAGGCUUUUCCCAGGCCAAGGCAUCCACUGAUGUACCUUGCAGUGUGCUAGUACAGGGAAUUUCAGAUUUUUCCCAAGUUCUCCAAUGACGGAACAAAAUCAAGACCCCAUGUUUGUUUCUUCUUGACAUAGAGCCCACCUUAGGGAAAGACUUUCGGUUCCCUCCUCUGAAAAAAAGGUUGUGAUCUUGAAAAAAGAUUCUAGUUACCUCUGCUAGGUCAAAGUUUCCACAUUGUAAAAUGUGAUGACUUGUAAAAUGUGAUGACUGAACAGGUUUUUCACAGGUUUCUCAAGCCCCAGGAUCUACAGACAGUAAUCCUAGUAGUUAAGUCAUAGUCAAAUGGCUUAUCCUUCAGUGUCUCAGUUUCUUCAUUUAUAACCUGAGAAUCAUUUUUUUAUUUCAUUAUAUUCCUGUAAUCAUUAAAUGAAUUGAUAUACUCAAAUGGCAAGCACAAAGGGGGUCAAUAAAUAUUAGUUAGUAUUAUUCCUUACAAGAGUAGUGAUUAAAUGAGCAAAGUAGAAGGUAAAGAAACACUUUGCUGUUGAGUUUUAUUUAAAGGUCAUGAUAAAUUUUUGAAAGGAAAAGGUUGUGUCUCACCUUUAUUGCAUACACCUCAAGUGUUUAUUGAAUACCGGCUGCUGUUUACAUGAAUAGCAUUCAUUGAAUUACAUUCAUUAUAGUUUUACUAUGACUAUACCUCUGCCAAAAUAACCCAUAACUGUCAAAGUCAUACCUACUGAGAUCAAAGAAAUGAUGGACUCACUGACACCUCCAAUGCAUUUUCCAUCUCUGAUUUCUCUGAUUCCUAAGUCCUCUCACUUUAGAAUUUUCUCUAUCCAUCUUGUUAAAAUCUAAACCUGCCAGGCCCCGUGACACAUGCCUGUAAUAUAAGCAAAUCAGGAGACUCAGGCAGAAGGCCAGCCUUAGCAACUUAGCAAGACCUUGUAUCAAAAUAAAAAAAUAAAACAAAAAGGGCAGGGUAUGUAACUCAGUGGUAAAGCACCUAUGGGUUCAAUCCUCAGUAUGAAAACAAAAACAAAAAAAACCCUAAACCACUUCCUUUAUUCCUGGUCAAGAAGUUUUUGUUUUGUUUUUGGCAGUCCUGGGGAUUGAAUCCAUGGCCUUGCAUGUGCUAGACAAGCAUUUGACCACCGAGCUGCACCUCCUAACCCCAAGAAGAAUUUUUAACCCCGUUAUACAAGUUGUUCCUUCUCUAAACAUUCAAGACUGUUGUCCACUCUUGAAGCUAUUAAUACUGGAUUUUAAUAUUUUCUCGUGAAAAAAAAAAAGAAAAUACAAUACUGUUUCAUUUCCCUGUGUCUUGAAUUUUUGUCUUGCUACUCUCUAGAAUAUAAUCCUUAAAAAAUAAUUCCUUCAAAGUAUAACAUGAAAAAUGGGCAGAUAAUUCUAAUUGAGAUCCCAGUGAUAUCUGAUGGAUGAGAAGAGUGCUUACAUGUUUAGCGCUUACAUGUAACAUGUAUGAUGGCAGACAGGGCACAGAUGUAGACAUUCUUUCUUUUCCAAGAAAGGUAAAGAUGGGAGCAGCACACAAUGAAGGAUAUUUAGCUUUGCCUAUUUAAGUAUUUAAGGCUUCCUUUCCUAAAAAAAAUGGUCAACUGUACCCACCUAAUUCUGUGUAGCAGGUGUGCUAUUUGGAAAUAAAUUCUUCUAGAAUGUGUGAAAAAGGUUAAAACUUUGGAAUGUUUUUGUUCUCAGUUCACAUAUCCUUCUCAUUCACUAUUUGUCUCCCUGGUGUGCAUGAACAGUGUGACCUGGACAAGAAUGCAGUGUCACUAGAGGAUAGGUCUUGGAGGCAGGGUGCAGUACUACUCCAAAGUCUGACUACCAAGUGAUUAUUGUGGUUUCCCAAUCAUAUGUUAAUUGGGUAGUAACAACUAACAUUCUUUCCUCAAUUCAUGCUAAAAGCUUUCUAUUCUUUUGCAUGGAAACCUUUAUUCACAGGAAUAUGUGAUCCAAGAAUUUUUUACCAUAUAAGUAAAGUUGGGUAUUUUUACUCAUAGUCCAAGUAUGGGAACCCUUUCACUAAUGUCCUGUUCAAGAAUAAUUACAAAUUGUUUGUAAGCCCCUCUAGGAUUAUAUACAGAUGAAAUUAAUGCUCACUAUGUGGGAACUCAUUAAGUUAUGUACCUGAGAUUUAUGCACUUUCUAUUUAUGUUAUAUUUGAAUAAAAAGUUUAUGGAAAAUAUGACUUUGACCAACAAUUGAAAUACUUUCUUUGACCAACAAUUGAAACCCCCAACAAGAGACAAUGCUUAGAGCCAAAGGGAUUUGCAGGGCAAAACUAGAAGUAGCUGAUCUGUGAUCUGCUGGUGGCCACAACCCCUGAAAAACAGAACUAAGGCCUCAGGAAAUCCACUCUGGGUUCCUCUUCAAGGGUUGGCCAUACCAACCAAAGCCUGGCCUCUUGGCAUCAGAGAAACCCAAGGUGGAAGGCAAAUGCCCAAAGAUUCCUGUUACUUUUCUCAAAUCUAGGGAGGGCCAGGAACCUCUAGGCCAAAACAAAGAUUCCCAGAGGCAUCUGUGACUGGCUGAGGGGUUUGAACUGAAUAUUAUAGGCAUCAGUCUGAGGGGAAAUGCCAGGGUCCCCCAAUUUUUUUUCUAUAAAAAUGCAUGAAAACAAAACACAGAUAACAGCUUAAGAGAAAGAAAUGGGCUCUAUGUCCAGAUUCUGGAAACUCAAGGCUUGGGAGAUGGUCUGGGGAGAGAAUAGUAAUAAAGAAAAUGGGACUCCAAAGAAGUGACUUGAUCCUUCUUCAAAACUGAGUCCCAGCUUGAUGCAAAGAGAUAAAUCUAGGUUCAUGUGGCCAACAUUUGGUCCUCUUCCGGGUCUUGAGUCCUCAGGGCCAGGUUCACAGAUCAGCAAACUCAAUUUCAAGGAAAAUAGAUUUGUUGAGAGAAUGAGCUGCGAGUGGAGAAAGUAAGGUGCUGGUUUAAUCCAAGGAAAGAGUCUUCCCCUUGGGAGGCAGCUAAGUUGCACCCUGAGCUCACCUCCUGCAAGCAGAUGGAGUAGGUCCUGCCAGAGCUCAUUCCAUGCUGCACCUGGCCUUCCCUGAUUGCAGGGGGGCUAGCAUGCUAAGCUACGGACAACAGCUUCACCAGGUCCAGAGCCUUCCUAUCCUCCCCAGACCAGCUGCGGGGGUGGGCACAUUUUUUCUCAGCUCCUUAUCCUCCUGCCCUCUCUGGUCAGAUGCAUAGCUGAACCUCCCCCAUGUGCCCUCUCCUAAAGAAACUUCAUGAUUAGGCCUAGAUGCCCAAGGGCCACAAUGGCCUGGCAGAUCGUGGCUGUUUCCAGAGGCUCAGGAGGCUGCCCGGUCCACUCCUUGGGCACUCCUAGCGGGUCCCUGCGGCGAUGCCCUAUUAACCUGUGCGUCUGUUCACCGUAGGCAGAGGGUUGGCGGGACCACGCCGCACAGCUCAGCCUGGGUGCUCUCACUGCAUCCUCGCCUCUACAGUGCGGCCCCAGCCUCCACCGCGUGCCAGUGUUUCUCUUGCCCUCAUUAUUUUUAGCUCGGCGGCUGCACCCUCCUACCUGCAAGAGCUCGCCCCGCUCUUAAGACUCGUUUUGCAGGAUUUGUGCCCCAGGUGGCUAACCUGACCCAUACUUGAAUAAACAGCGAGCACCCAACAACCCUGGUGAGCCACUCGCACGGAAUUUGCAUUCAGCCACUCCAGAGGCUCCUGACAGCAGAGCUUUCCCACCUUCUUUUUCAUCUACCAGGACUUAGAAACUCUGAACCAUUCUCCCAGUCAUAAGUAAAUAAAUAAAAUUUAGAAAAAGAAAGAGAUGGGAGGUCCUGAACUGAUACUCCUCUGGGAGGAAGUGAGAGGCUCCUGGUACAAUUUUAUCCUUGGCCCCUGGCAUUCUCCCCCUGAAGUCCUAAGGAUUCUGGGACAGAAGCCUCGAUUAUAUUUGGAGAAAAUUGAAUUUGGAAAGUAUUUGCAAGCUUGCUUCCCAAGCUAGACAUGGGCUCCACUGCUGUUUCCAAGGACAGGUUGUCCAGGGGCUAGAGCGAGGCUUUUCAUAUCAGUUAAGGAUAAGGGUGUGCUUCCCUCAGUGUCUGCUCUUGCCAAGUGCAGCAGUAGUAAUUUCAAGUUUAAACAACACUGGCAAAGUGAGAUUUUUAAGGCCAGGUGUGGGUGAAGGGACCUGAUGUAGAGAAAAGGAGCAGGAGGUGUGAGGUUCUAGCUUUGGGUUGCUGUUUCAGAUGGGCCCUGGUGGGCUAGAGGAUCUUUGCAGAGCAAUCGCCGGGGGUGGGGGUGGGGGGUGUUCAGCCUUUCCUUGAGCCAAUUAAACAACAGUUUCUCUCUUUUUUUAAUAUUUAUUUUUUAGCCGUUGUUGGACACAAUACCUUUAUUUAAUUAACUUAUUUUUAUGUGGUGCUGAGAAUCGAACCUAGGGCCUCAGACGUGCUAGGCGAGCGCUUUGCCAACUGAGCCACUAUCCCAGCCCCAAAUUAAGCAAAAGUUUAACUGAAUAAAGGAGUCUUCUUUAUUCUUCUUUCAUAAGGGGGAUGACUGAUUAGAUUUUGUAGCCUAUGCUUCAGAAUUCUGAUUUUCAUUUUGAAAAUCUGACUUUUACUCUUUGUUCAUUUCCUGCAUGUUAGGGUGUCAACUACAAGUGACAGGUAAACAUGACUUCAGCUUGAGCCAAAUGACCUGUGUGGCUCCUAGAACACUUUGGAUGAUCCCAUUUUAUUUCUAUAGUAUUGGAUAGAAUGGUUUGGCCAGUAUUGGAUGAUUGAAGGUCUAAGAGUCUUAAGGAGAAAAGUGAGUGUUGACUGUCUUUGUUAUACUUAAAUUUAAAAGUUAACCUGUUUAGAUUAGAGAUUCUUAAACCUCCUAUAAAGCUUCACUGGAUGGCUGUUAGGGGGAUCUAAAAAACUGACAUUCAUGCAUAACAUGCUUGGGGGCCAUAACUUCAUCAAAUUUUCAAAGGUAUUUGGGACCCAGAAAAAGCUGAAAGUCUUUCUCAUACACACCAUAUAUGAUACCAGAUUCCUUUUGGGAUCUGUCUCUAAGUGGCCUGCAAAACAACUUUGAUUCAGUGAUACAUAGAUUUCACACUCAACAAUGUUCUUAAGUUGUCACUGGGUUAACAGAAAGUCACUCUGUUAAGAGCUAGCACUAGCAGGCCAAAGGCCCCUAGCAGAAUAAUGACUUGGAGCCCAAAUCCCUGCUCUGCCCAUGUGAAUUAAACCCACAUUUACCCACCUAAGACUCUUGUGACUCUUAGUGUAAGGAGCAAAUGUUGAAGUGUAUGUGAAAUUACUUUACAGAUCACAAAAUAUAUGGCUGGUGGCAUUUACGAAAAUACUGAUGGGUUUUCACAUGCUAGUUAUAAUUAAAUGAACAAUUAUGUAAAUAAUUAUAAUUAAAUGAACAUUUGCAUAUUUUCUUCAACCAUAUACUUGUAAGGAAAGUCAACAUACUUUGAAUCCCUAAUAAUUAUUAGACAUUUUCAUGUUUCAUUAUCUCACCUAAUCCUUGAGACAACCUAUGGCUUAUAUGCUAUAGUUAUUACCCCUCCUCCCCCCCCACACACAUUUUUUUUUAAACAUUUGAGGAAAGAAACAUAGAUUAAAUUGCCUAAGGCCACCCUGCUAACAAGCACCAGGUUCCUACUCUAAACAAAAUCCCUGCUUUAAAAAGUGGAUAUUACAUAAAGUGCAAAUUUUGCUCAGAUUUAAGUAAAUUAUAUUCCUUGUGAGUUUGUUAUAAAAGUACAGGAGUUUAAAAUAGAGCAGCCACACUUGAGAUGUUCCGUCUUCUCAUGGACUUUUUGCUAAAAAUUUGUCUUUAACUUCCCUUCUAUUUCCUCCACAGUUCAGGUGUAUUAGCAUGUUAACCGAAAUUUAUGCACAUAUUUCCUUAUUAGUGGCAUAGAGCUUCUUCAACUAAUUAAGAAGGCUUAGGAAGGAAAGAGCACCUCUGUCCUCAUCUCCUGCAAUUCUUCCACUGACCCUUUGUAGUAGAAACCAUUAUCUUCAACAACCAGUGGAGGCCCAAACUGUUAUCUGUCCACAUGGUUAAAUAUCUCACUCAAGGUUAAAUAACCAAAACAGUGUGUUUGUGUAUGAGUGCUAUGUGCACACAUAGCACCAAGUCAUUGGCUAAUGAAAAUAAAACAGAUUUAUUUUGCUGCUCCCUGAGUUUGGGGCACAUUAAAAGAACUACUACAGGCUCUGGUCCACUCUCUUUUAAAUCAUUUCUGAAGUAAUUACCAUGGCAGGUAGAUUUGUUCAACAGAUAGUUCUCCAUUUUUGUUCCUCUUUAGCGUAAAAUAUAUAAUAGCCGAAUCUGUACACAGUUUGUGGAAGAUCCAGAGAGAGUAGGCAGACAUCUAUUCUUAUCUUUAAUAAUUAUGUUUUAAUUAUGUCUUGAGAACUAGUAUCUCAGAAAAUUAAUAACAAGAGCAAAAACAAGUAUGGAUCAUAGCAGGAACUUUGUUCAAAAACUUAUGAAGUGUGCUGUGUUUCUGUAUAGGACUCAGGUUGCUGAGUAGAUGAAAACGUUUUAAUAACACUUUGGUAUUUAUACAAGGAAGAAUUGAUGAAAUGAUUAUUAAAAGUAAAGUAGUGUGGUAUGAUCUUUUUUUUUUUAAUAGACUUGAAGACAGCCUGUCUUGGGCAUAGCUAAAACCAGUUCAUACUAUAUAUCUUACUCUGUUCUGUGCUGCUGUGCCAGAAGACCAUGAACAAGGUCAUUUAUAAACAACAGAAGUUCAUCUGAGGCUGGGAAUCUCAAGAUGGAGGGGCCACAUUUGGUGAGGACCUUUUUGCUGUGUCAUAAUGUGGAAGAAGGUAUCACAUGGAAAAACAGAGCAUAUGAGAGAGAAGGGGCCAAACUCCUCUUUUAUAAGGAUGCCAUUUCUUCAGUAACCAAUUUGCUUCCUUCAUAAUGGCAUUAAUCCAUUAAUGAGAGCAGAGACCUCAUGGCCUAAUCACCUAUUGUAGGUCCCACCUCUAAAUAUUGCUGCAUUGGAAAUUAAUUGUCUAACACAUGAACUCCGGGCAACACAUUCAAGCCAUAGUACUAUUGUCUGAACUUGGACAUUUCCCAAGUUACAUGAGAUAUAUGACCUCUAAAUUUUAGGUAUUGGCAAGUUUUACCUGUAAAGGGCCAGAUAGUAAAUAUUUCAGGCUUUUGGGGCCACUACCAUCUCUGUCAUUAUUUCUUCCUCCUUUCUCUUUCUUUUCCUUUCCUCCUUUCCCUCUUCCUCUUCCUUCCUCCUUCCCUUCUACAGUUAUUUACAAACGUAUAAUCAAUUUGUAUUGCCUUUUUAGGGCUAGCAUAGCAAAGUACCACAAUUGGGUGGCUUCACCAGCAGAAAUUUCAUUAUCUUUCAGUUCUGGAAGGUAGACAUUUGAGUUCAAGAUGUCAGCAGGGUUGAUUCUUUCUCUUUCUUUUUUUUUUUUUAGUUAUGUAUAUUAUUUAUUUAUUUAUUUAUUACAUACAUGACAAUAGUGGAGUGUAUUACAUUCAUAAUUAUCUAUUCACAGCACAAUUUUUUGUAACUCUGUAUAUAAAAGGUUGAUUCUUUCUGAGAGCUGUGAAGAAGAAUCUGUUCAAGCCUCUUUCCUAAUCUUCAGUGGUUUGCUGACCAUCUUUGGAGUUCCUUGGUGCUGUGGUUUGAAUGUGUCCAUAUGUUGGAGACUUAAUCCACAAUGCAACAGUGUUGAGAGGUAGGACUUUAAAGAGGUGCUUAGGUCAUGAGGGUUCUGCCCUCAUGAGUGGAUUAAUGUCAUCAUCCCAAGAAUGGGUUUCUGAUAAAUGGGUGAGUUUGGUUCCCUUCCCCUCCUCUGGCUCAAGCUCUCUCGCCCUCGCCUUGUCUUGCCCGUCUGUCUUCUGCUGUGGGGUGAUAUAACAAGAAGGAAAGCCCUCACCAGAUGUCAACAUGUUGAUACUGAGAGCAGAGACCUCAUGGCCCAAUCACCUAUUAUAGGUCUUAUAAUAGGUUUCCAGUUCCCAGAACUAGGACUUCCCAUUGCCUGUGAAUUACUUAGUCUGUAGUAUCCUGUUAUAGCAGGGCAAAAUGGGCUAAGACACUUGCCUUAUAGAAGUGACACCCUGAUCUUGGAAUUUAAAUUUACGUAGUGUUCUCCCUAUACAUAUGUCUACAUCCAAAUUUACCCUUUUUAUAUAAGGUCACUGUCAGAUUAGGGGCCUACACUAUUCUAGUAUUAUUUCAAGUUAACUAAGUAUAUUGACAAUGACCCUAUUUCCAAUCAAGUCACAUUCUGAAGUUCUGGAUAUUAUUUUAACAAAUGAAAUUUGGGGGAGACACAGUUCAAUCCAUAAGACCAUUCCUAGCUCAUCUAGAUAGGUCAUGGAGUGUAUGUACUUUGUUGAUCCCUUUAGUAAAAUUCUCAUUUAUUCUAAAAUCCUAUAAUUUUCUAUUCUACGUGACUUUAUGGGACAAUUUUUUUUUUUUUUUUGAGAUGUGGGCCUCACUACUUUGCGAAGGCUGGCCUUAAACUUGUGAUCUUUCUGCCUCAGCCACCUGAGUAGCUGGGAACAAGCAACCAUGCCCUGUUGUAUGGGACAAAUUGUCUAUUGUAUUUAUUCAAUUAACAAAUUUUAUUGAGCACUUACAUAUGCUCAAGCACUAUUCGUGGUGCCAGGACACAGAAGUGAAAACCUGAUAAAAAUUAUUUUCCUCCCAAGUCUUAAUGUCUAAUAUGAAAAGCAGACCCCCAACAAAAUAAACAAAAACAACCCAAAUACAUAAGAUGGCAGUAGGUUCUAAGAAUAAAAUUUCAGGGGCAAGAGAAAGAUAGCCAUUCAAUUGAAUUUUAAUAGGGUAGUCAGGGAAUAUUUCAAAGAAAAAGUAACAUUUGAGCAGAGAAGAGACCUGAAUGAGGUGAGGAAUUAGCACAUGAUAUCAGGUGCUAUGGUUUGGAUAUGAUUUGAUUAUGUUCCCCAAGGAUUCAUGUGUGGAAAGUAUGGUCCUCAGUGUGGUGAUAUUGGGAGGUAGUAGAACCUUUAGAAUGUAGGUUAAGUGUGAGGUAAGUAGGUCACUGGGACCACUGCUCUCAGAAGAGAUUAACGUAGUUCUCAGGGGACCCCAGUUAGUUCUGUGAAAGUGGGUUGUUAUUUUAUAAUAGGGAAGAUUCAGCCAUCACUGGGGUAUUUUAGAAUCCCAGGACAUCAGAGUGAAAUUAUCAGUUGUCAGUGUUUGCUUUAACAUCUGAAAAAAGCUUCCUGUUCUACAUCCCUGCAGACCACUGGGUGCUGUGGGUGAGGCGAUGCCCUCCUCUGCCAUGGCCCCCUAGGAAGCUGUCCUUCUGUUGAAUACUGUACCUUUGCUCGCUCUCAAUUCGAGUGGACUGUGCUUUAGUGUAUUUAUAAAUGAUGGAUUCAGUUUCUGAAAUUAAACUUUUUAUUUGCGGUUUUCCAAAAAAAAAAAAAUGUGAGUUGUUAUAAAAGAUCAUGUGAAUCAUUAUAAAAGAGCUCUCUCUACUCUCUGGCUUUCUGUCUCACCAUGUAAUCCCUCUGACAUGUACCUCUACCACAAUACUAUAUGCCAGGAGGUCUUCACCAGAAACCAAAAAAAAAAAAAAAAAAGGGUUUGCCCAACCUUAGACUUUCAUUCUUCAAAACUGUAAGUUAAAUGAACUUCUUUUCUAUAUAUGUUAUCCAGCCUCAGAUGUUUCAUUAUGGCUAGUACAUUUAGGGAAGUCAUGUUUCUGUCAAAUGAAAGAGCAAUCUAAGGUAGAAGUGAGGGCCAGAACAGCAAGAGGAAAGUGUGCUUGAGUAAAAAGGAGGCAGGAGAGAAUAUGAAGAGAUGAAAUCAGAGAUAAUGUGGGGUGUGAGGUGUUCAAUGGUGAAUAGUCUUGAAUUACCACCUUAGAUAAGGGUCAGUGUCAAGAUGAGGGUGGGGCAAGCAAAGCACACAGUUUAAGGAGGCAGUCAUUCUCAGAACUCUGCAAGUACAGGGUGGGCACCUAAGAGUGAGUUCCUCCUUAAAUUAUGCACCCCAGGAAUCUCCCAAGCCUCACCCUAGUUCUGGUCCAGGUAAAAGCUUUGGAUUCAAUAACAAGUGGGACAGGAAGCCUCUGGAUGGUUUUUAGGAGAGGGGCAUGAAUAACAUUAACUUUUAUCAGAAUUACUCUGACUGCUGUAUUUAGGACAAGGAUAGGAAAAAUGAAACAAGUUAAAAGCUCACUGAACUAGCUUCCCAAGAAAAAGUGAAUCAAGGCUUUAUACCCAAUAAUCCACCUAGGGGUGGGCCACCCUAAAAAGCUGUCAUGCAUAUAACCAGUGUAACUUGUGUUGUCUUUUUAUUUUCACAUGACUUUCUUUGGAGGUCAUCUGAAUACUAGACUCUAUGGCAGUUACUGGGAUUCCAUUCAAAGAAUCAACAAGAAAUGGUCCCUAUCUCAAAGAAUUAAUAUUUUCCUUUCUUCUUUUCUUCUUUUUUUCCUUCCUUUUUUUCUUUUAUAUUUUGAAAUUUUGCAAAAGCAAAAGCAAGCAAACACCAAAAAGUCUAAGUCCCCACUCUUACCUUCUUAGGAAUUCACUAUGCUUAUUUUCUGAUGCAUGUAUCUAUGCCCAUUCCAUUUAGAAUAGUAAAUAAAUGAUGAUAAGAAUUAGGGUACAACUUAGGAAAUUGGCCAUGAUUUAUUAUGAAUUCUCAUGAAAAUAUUAGACCUCCCUUUCACUCAUAGGAUCAGGAAUUUGGGGGACUUAAAUGUUAGAGGUCCUCACAUUCAACCCUCUCAUUUGUCUGAUGAUGAGACUGAGACCCAGAAAGACAAACCUCUAAUUACCCACCUACUUAGUGGUUGAGUGUGGCAGAUUGCAUUUUUAAAAGCUGUCUACAAUAAUUUGUUUUGUUCCACAUGCUCUUGAAUGCAACUUUGACACUGAUCACUGAGAAGAUGGGAGUCUAUGUUCCCUGCCUUGAAUCUGGGUAUAUCAGUUUCCUGUAGCUGCUGUAAACAAAUCACCAAAAACUUGUGGCAUAAAACAACACAUAUCUAUUAUUUUACAGUUCGAGAGAUCAGAAUUCCAAAAUAUGUCUUAGUAGGAUAAAAUCAAGAUAUUGGCAGGGCCAGAUCCUUCUUGAAGCUCUAGGGAGAAUCUGUUUCCAUGCCUUUUCAAGCUUCUAAAGGCUGCUUGCAUUCCUUGGCUCAUGGCCAGCAUCCCUCUGCCCUCUGCUUCUGUAUCAUAUCUCCUUUUCUGAUUCUGAACCUUCUGGAUUCCUGUUAUAAGGACAUUUGGGAUUAUAUUGUAGCCACCUGGAUCAUCCAGGAUAAUCUUCCUAUCUCUGGGUCCUUAACUUAAUCACAUCUGCAAAGCCCCUUUUGCCAGGUCAGCUAACAAAUUUACAGGUUCAGGGAUUAAACUGUGAACAUUUUAGAGUGCUCUUUGUUCUGCCUAACAAACCAGGUCAAUUUAUGACUACAGGAGAAUUGAGGUUAUGUGAUAUCCAAGGCAAGGUCAUGAAAGUGAUAUUGUCAAUUGUCUUGAAUCCCUUGCUUUUAGAACCCAGUUGUCCUUGCCAUGCCUUGAGGAGGCCCAAACUAACCCAAGCAGAAAGGCUACAGGAGAAGCCAUGUGUCAGUGUCCUGAAGAACAGCCAGCUGUGGCCUCAGCUGAUACCAGCAUCAGUGGGCACCCAUAUGAAUGAAGAUGCCCCCAGAUGAUUCCAGAACAUAGCUGUCACUUCACUUAGCUUUCAUGUCUUCCCACCUGAGGCUCUAGGUAUCACAAAGGGGAGAUAAGUAUCUCCACUACACUCUGUUGAAAUCUUGAUCCACAGAUAAUAUGAGAGAUAAUAAAACAAUUGCUGUUGUUGUAAGCCACGAAUUUGGAGGUAAUUUGUUACAAAGCCAUACGGAACUAAUAUGGAGAGCCACACAGCAGAACCUAGGUCUUCAGUUUCUCAGCUUUAGUGCUUUUUUCCACCUCAAUUAUUACCUUUCAGUCAAGCAAGAAAACCAGUGGUUGUUGAGCAGCUAUUAGGAACAAUGCCCUCUGGAAAAUGUAAAGAAUAUAAAACUUGCUCUUCAUUCUCAAAAAACAUUCCCUUCUCCAGUGAGAAAGACAUCCAGGUGCAGAGUUGGGAGGCUCGUAGGCAAGGCAUGGUAAGAGAUGGGAAGAACCCCAAGUAUGUCACAGGAAAAGGAGAGAAAAGAGAGUCCAAGGAAUAUUCUGAAGGUUAGUUGACAAGACUUCCUGGUGAGGAAUGCACAGAAAGAAGAGGUAAGGAUUCUAUUGUUUCUAGCUAUUAAUAUACAUAGGAAAUCUAGGGGGAGACCCAGGCCUGAGGAAACUUUAUGGUGUGCAAUCUGGUCAUCAGUGGAGCUAAUAUCUGUUCUCGAAAGCAUUUUCAUCACUAAGCAAUGCAUGGUUCCCAAUGAUGGAGCUGUUAGAGAACUAACUGGGAUCACCCUUGGGGGUAUCUGUACUAUUUAUUUAAGGAAUUAGACUUCUUAGCACUCAUUCCCAGUGCGUAUAUGGUUUUCAGUACCAUAUAUGGCAGAUGCUACAGUUUCACAUAAACUAGUAGCAGUUGUUCAUCCCAGUAAGUCAGAGAAGGGUGUGUGGAAUAGGUGUUGUCAUCACUAUUUUACUUCUAAGAAUAUAUUCAGAAUGUGGAGUGCUCCUUCCCCAUGUGUGCAUCCUCUUAAGCAGAAAGCUUUUCUCGUCCCAGAGAUGGAGCAAUUUUCUCCCCAUUGUCUGUUGAAUUCUGAGACAUUUUCAUAUGAAUUACAGAAAUACACAGACACAACCCUAACCCUAACCUCUAACCCUAACCCCCAUGAACAUAUUCUGUUUUAUUUUUACAAUGGGUCACUUUCACAAUGAGCUAGAAAGUUUGCUUCCACACAUUUAUAAACAUGGGAUUUCUGUCUGAAGUUGGGAAAAUGUUUCUUUUUCAACAAUGUCCAUGACUCCAUGGAAAAUCAGUGUCUUAAUGAUCUGAUUUGCAGAAAAUGCUAUUUGAAUUUACUUGAGCCACAGAGGAAUUAUUUCUACCUUUUAUUUCAUUCUUCCUACAGGCAGAGAUGGUAUGUUUGACUCUAUGGGAAGUUAGAAAAGCCCAUGACUACAAUAAUACACAUGAAACAUUCAAAUGGUUGAGAAAAAAUUAAAGGACUUUAAGUUUUAUGGUUUUAGAUGGGAUAUGCAUAAAAAUAGGCAUAUCAAUUCUCCAUUUUUAAAGAAAUAAUAUUUUCCUGAUUAUAAAAUACAUAAAACUUUACUUUUAAAAUUUCAGAAAUUAUUAUAUUGCUGGUGGGACUGCAAAUUGGUGUAACCACUAUGGAAAGCAGCAUGGAGAUUCCUCAGAAAAUUUGAGAUGGAACCACCAUUUGACCCGGCUAUUCCAUUCCUUGUUUAUACCCAAAGGACUUAAAAUCAGCAUACUACAGUAAUGCAGCCAAUGUUUAUAGCACAAUGCAGUCAAUGUUUAUAGCAGCUCAAUUCACAAUAGCUAAGCUAUGGAACCAACCUAGGUGUCCUUCAAUAGAGGAAUGGAUAAAGAAAAUGUGGUAUAUAUAUUCAGUGGAAUAUUAUUCAGCUUUAAAGAAGAGUGAAAGUAUGACAUUUGCCAGUUAAAUGGAUGGAGUUUGAGAAUAUCAUGCUAAGUGAAAUAAGCCAGUCCCAACAAACCAAAGGCAUAAUGUUUUCUCUAAUAUAUGUAUGUUAAUUCACAAUAAGGCAGGAAGCACUAGAGAAGAAUAGCAUUACCUUAGAUUAGGUAGAGGGAAAUGAAGGGAGGGCAGGGGAGGAGAUGUGGGGAUAGGAAGGAUAGUAAAAGGAAACAGACAUUAUUACUUUAUGUAUAUAUGUGACUGCAUGACCAAUGUAAUUCUACAACAUGUACACUCAGAGAAAUAAGAAAUUAUAUCCCAUCUAUAUAUGAUAUAGCAAAGUGCAUAAAUGCAUUCUAUUGUCAUGUCUAACUAAUUAAAAUUAAAUUAAAAUAAAAAAUUAGAAAAUAUGUUAAAGGCAAUAAGAAAAAAAAAAUCUCUUGUGAAUCUUUACCCAGAGAUAACUACUGUCUAUAGUUUGAAAAAAAAAUACUUUGGGCCUCAUGCUUUGCAGAAAAACCCUUGGAAAUUCUUAAUGAAAUUAUGCAUCACUUGCUGAGUUACAAGUGAUUUUUUUAGCCAGGGUGUUUUUUUUUUUUGUUUUUUUUUUUUACUUACCAUAUCACAAACAAUUUUAUGUCAAAUUUUAUUUAGGAAGUCAAUGUGACAGGUUUUCGAUGGACUGGAUAUACUUAUUACAUUAGUGUUGGACUAUACAUUGAUUUUAUUUAUAUUACAUUUAUCUUCUUUAUCCUUAGUCAAUACAUAUUUACUGCAGACCCACUAUAAGCCUAGCAUUGUUCUAGGCAGUGAGGACAAGGAGAAGAAUGAAACAGACAAAAUCAUUACCACCUGUGAAUUUGCAUUCAAAAAGGGAAGACAGGUGACAAUCAAAUAGACAAACAUGCAGUGUGAUAGGUGGUGUAGUAGUUCUCUGCCUAUUAUUUAAUAAAAGCUUUGCAUAUGGACUUCCACGGAUUCUGACUUGUAUUUUCAGAAUAAAAUCUUAUUUAAUAAAAACUGAAAAAGUCAGGCACAGUGGUGCACCCCUGUAAUCCCAGUAACUCAAAAGAUUGAGGUAGGAGGAUUUUAAGUUCAAAGCCAGCCUCAGCCAUUUAGCAAGACCUUUUCUCAAAAUAAAAAAUAAAAUGUGUCAGGGGUGAAGCUCAGUGGAGCUCUCUUUGGCUCAAUCCCAAGUACCAUCCAAACAAACAAACAAAAACGAAAAGAAAAAAAAUAAAAGAAACAGUUUACAAUCCUUAUCUACAGUUUGGGUUUGGAUGUAUUAUAACUGCACCCAAAACUCCAGAGAAUCAAGAGUGCUCAAUUGUCCAGUACUUCAAAAUAAAUAAUCUCAAAUAGGCUUAAAAUAACAAUUAUUAUAUCUCUUAUUGCUCUGUAGAUUGACUGGGCUCAGUUGGGCAUUUCUUACUUGGGGUAUCCUACACAUGCAGUCGGAGAUAGCUGGGGCUCAGACAUCCACGGGUCUUAUGGUAUUUGAACUUUUAAUAUAAUAUGUAACAUCCCCUUGAGAGAGCUUUCCAAGUGCAUAAGGCAGAGGCUACUCUACUUUUAGCCUCUCGCCAGAAAUCACAAAAAAUCCCUUAUACCAUACUCUACAGAGAGGACUAAGACUCUAGAUUCAAUAUACUAGAGGUCUUCACAAAGUUGUGUGCAUACCAACAGGCAUGGUUCAUCAGGGAACCUUUGAAGAGACUGGAUACCAUAGCAGGAAAUGUGGCUUAGACAAAAUGAAAUUACACAAUCAUAGAUCACCCCACAGAGCUCAGCAUAAACUAGGUAAAGAUCCCUUUCUAAAACAAUUUCAAAGACACAAGCCUGCUAACUCUCUGGAUCAAGUAAAGCUGGCAGAGGGAAGAAUUGCUGAUAGAGCCAUUGUCUCCAUAGGCAUGACUCUGAUGGGUGGGGCUGGUAAACCUAGACAUCCUUUUGUUGGGGAGAGAGGACUCCUGCCACUGGGAGUACGAAAGCAGUAUUUGUUUCUUUUCUCCAGAAGGAGCUAAGCACAUCUGAAUACCCAAUUCUGCUCUGUUCAGCGCACCGGGUAUACUGUGCUAUCGCUGCCCUACGAUACACACAGUGGCAAUCUGGUCCUAUAACUCCUAAAUGCAUUUUGGACCUGAUGCUAGUCUCUUUAAGUGCAUUUCAUUCCCACUGUUUCACAAGAACCUCCUUUUUCAGAUUAGGAUACUGAGGCACAGAAAUGAAACAGUUUGCGCCAACACAUAGAUAAGUGGUAUCCCAGGAUUCAAACCCAAACAAUCCAAUACCACAGCCCAUUCUCUUGAUGGUUGCACUCCUCUGCUUGGAGAAAAUCACUUCAAUUCUCUGGGUUGCAGGUUCCUCAUCUGUAAGAGAGUUAACACCCCUUCCCUUACACACUUGUGCUAAGAAGUGAGAGUCUGCCCAGUUUUGCCACCUAGAAGCUAUGGAACCUUGCACAAAUUGUUCAACCUUUCUGAGCCGUGGUUUACUUAUCUAAUCAAUGAGUACAUUAUAUUCUUAUGAGAAGCUGAUGGCAUGAUGCAUAUAAAGUACAGUGUAUGGCAUAAGGGGCUUGAUAAAUGCUAUUAACUGGCAUUAAUAUUAUUGCUGUAAGACAGUUUUGAGGUUCUUUACUUAAAUCUAAUACCCUUACAAGUCUUGCUGAAAUUUCUGUUAUUUUGUCUGAUUUUUACUGUUCUCUUAUUUUCCCACCCAGGAAACAGCUGCACAUUUGGGCAGAGGGACAUAGAAAGCAUUGGUAGAUAGUCACGUUGCCACCACAGAUGUCCCUGCCUUGGCUGAGGACAGAAGACAGCAGCCAAUAUUCACAGAGGACUGCAGAUGUUCUCCUUUAACUUGGAUCAGAAGGGCUAUUAUGGACAACACAAUGUGUGGGUAUUGCAGACUUUUCUGUUCGAAAUGGAAUAUUGCAGAAUAUGCACACAUUCAUCCAAAGCUUAUUGAAUACCUACUCUGUGAUGAUUGUCUUGGAAAUACAAAGAUGAAUGGGACAUACUCCCUGUCCCCUAGGACCACAAAAUACAGACAAGGAGACAAAACACACAUAAUUAACUAUAGUACAGUGUGAGGAGUUCUAUGUAUAGCAGAAAUACAAACAGUGGUUGAUCUCAGAAGGAGACAUUUUGUCAGAAGAGGCUUAGAAGGAGACAAGGGAGGCUUCUUGGAGGAUGUGGUAUUUUAUCAGUUCUAUAAAUAAUGAAAGGACUUUACUAAGAGAUAGGGUAGGACAAAGAUCACGGAGGUGGAGGAAAUGAUAUGAAGGCAGAUGGAAAGGAAGGACAGGGAGCUACCUGUUAGAGCAGGGCGUGUGACAAGUGCUACAGAUGGCUGGGCCACCUCCAUCCAUGACUUCACCUUCCCUGGUCAUCUUCCAUAAUGUGACACCUUCUGGUCAUUGAGUCAUAAGCAGAAGAUUGCUGGGUUAGGAUUCGGGGAGAGUGUUUCCCUUACCCGUAAAAACAGGACAGGCUCAAUUAGCAGGCACUUUCCUUCAACUUUUGCCCUUCACAGUCUCUCCUUUCUCCUCCUGGGAAUGGUGGGUGAGAUUCCUGGAGGGGUAUCUUGAGGUCAUGGGGUGAUAAGCAGAAGAAAACCAUAGAGAUACAGGAGCUUGGGCCGUCAUCAGGCACCUUACCAGCCCUUGGGUGGUAGACCUCUUAAUUUCUUAUUUGGUGAGAAAAAUAGCUCUCUGUUUGUUUAAACCAGAGUACACUGGAUGUUCUGUUAAUUCCAAAGGAAUUAAUAGAGGGGGUAAUAAUGACUUAAGGAAUAUAAGGCCAAAAAUAAAUAAAUAAAUAAAUAAAAGAGGGGGAUCUAUAUUGUGAAGGGCCAUAGAGUCCACAUGUGGAAUGACUGUUCCUUAUGUAGUAAGCAGAGGUGAAGUGUAGCCAGGUGGUAGAGCUCAGCAUGCAAGAGGUCCUCGAUUUUAUCCCAGCACAUUAAACAAAAGCAAAAAAACACUUGUUAUUUACUGGGCAAUGGGAAACCAGAGAAGGUUUGUGAAUAGUAAUAAUACUUAAACUGUGCUGUAGGAGAAAUUAUUUGACAACAAAAGAGAAAGUGCUUGGAAUCAAAGAAACUGAGUAAGAAGAAGUUCUAAUGGUUGCUGUACAAAGUAGUGCCUCCUAUUACAAUCUCCAUCACUAGCAGGUAUAUCUGUAUCAUCAGAUAUAUGCAAUUGAUCAUUUCUAUAUUUAGGUAAAGUGUACUUAUAAAACUUGGUCCUGUUACUAAUUUGUAAGUCUAACUAAGAUGAUAUUUUGCUCUACAAAUCAGUUCCUUAAGCGUCCUUUGCAACCAGACUAUAAUUCUUCCCCUCAUUCUUUCCCAUUUCCUACUUAAAAUUUUUCCUUUCCCACCACCCUUAGUAGGAGGGUAGUAAUAAGCAAUGAAGGGAGGGAGACAGGUGAAGGCAUUUCACGGGAAGAACUAACCAGUCUUGCGAAUUGUUUAAAUGUGGCAGGUCAAGAAGCAGGAUGAAUGAGAAAUGACUCCAAGCUAAGGCCUAUGUGGCUCAAAGUCAGGAAAGAGAAUGAAAGGCAUGCAGAAGGGGUGGGAAAUAGUGGGUUCCUCAGGCCAGUGACUGCCAGAAACUGUCUACAUUGGGUGGAUCCCUUCAGGGAGACCUCCUGGUGCUGCACCUUGGUUUAGGGGAUAUAAAGAUCAGUGAGACCCUUGAGGAUCUCACACUUCAUCCAUUUGUAAACAUUCAUUGAGUUGUCUACUGGUAACCAGGCUUUGUGUAAGUGAACACAAAUACAAUAUGCUAAGUUCCAGGGCUCAUGGUGUUUGAUAAUAGAGAAAAACAGAUAAACUAACAAUGGCAAAGCAAGACAUGCCACAGGUGUGUGGCGGAAAUGUUGGGAUAAGCAGAAAAUUGGAGGGAUGUCUGGGAUGCCUUCACAAUGGAGAGGACCUGUCUGAAUGCUAAGUAGGCAAAAGUAUCCCAGACAGAAUAGACAGUAUGUGACCAAGGUGUCACCACACCUAGUACAUCCUGCCAUUGGGUUGCUGCAGCAGUGGUGGGGGAGGAGUAUGUGUAAUUAAGUGGAUGAAUGAAGCCCAAAAUGUAAUCUGCAAUUUACUUGCACAAUUUUCUUAACCACUCUGAGCCUCCUUUGCUUCUCUGUUAAAUGGGAAUAAUUCCGUGGGACUUUUACGAGGAUUAAAUGGGAUAAUGAAUGCUUAACACAGUGCCAAGCAUAGUAAAUGCUCAAUAAAUGUUAGUUGUUGUUAUCCAGUAGGUCACAAGCUGGAUUAGAUGGGCAUUUUAGAAAGACAGAAGUAGUGUGUGCUAGCAGACUGUGGAUACAGGAAGUCCACCUGCGAGCAAGAAGACGGAGCUCAGGGUGAUCAGUGGUAGUGGACAGCCCUGGAAGAUGAUCAGAACAUAAAUAUCCAGUUAGCCCAAAUAGAGUUCCUUAAAUUAGGCUGGCAUAGUAAAUUGUAAAUUCAAAUGCUGCAAAAUGAAAACAAUCAGACUACUAGUAAGCUGGGAAAAAUGUUUAAUUUAUGGAAUCGAUCCUGAAGGUACUGGCAUUUCCUUUAAUUCUAGAGGGUCAGGUAGCUUCAUUCAAUGUAAUAUGUUUUGCACGUUUCCAUCAGAUUCUAUUACACCAUGGCCUUUAUUCAGGCAAUGGAGUAUUUAAUCAGAUACAAAAAGUAUGUCUUGAAUAUUUACUGUGCGCAAAGUAUUAGUAAAAGUGUCAUAAUCUUUAGCACAAGAUCCAAGUUUGUUCGACAAGGUUGUUCUUGUGCCAAAGAGCCCUGGGGGAAAAGAAUGUAUGAUUUUUAAAAUUUGAAGAUGUAGAAGCAAAAAAAAAAUAGUUAUAAACAACUCUGAAAAUUCAAUCACUGAUUCUUUCUAAACUAGUAUAAUACUCAAAAUAAGAAAAAAAAAUAACCUCAAAAUUUUCUCAUGGAAUUUGUUCAGGUCCCAAACAAUAACAUGAUUCUACGGUGCUGUCCUGAGCAGCAUCAGCAGGGGAAACCAAGACACCUCCUCAGCUGUCUGUGGACCUCAAGAGGGUUUGUUCUCAUGGAUACACGUGAGUCUGAAUGUUCACCAGGGUUUCCCACAGUUCUCUCAAUCCAAUGGUGGGUGGUGUAGUAAACAAAAUCACCACAGACACUAGGACCAUUGAUCUAGAACCUACCAUGUGCACAUUGCUUAUCACUAAUCUGUAUAGUAGCCAUGACACAGGCAUCGCCAUCCCCAUUUAACAGAAGAAAAGAAUGAGUGUCCAAAGGUUCAGGAUGAGGAGUCAAGCUGAG
rnacentral:lncRNA from 1 species